UACGUAGGGUGCAAGCGUUGUCCGGAAUUAUUGGGCGUAAAGAGCUCGUAGGCGGUCUGUCGCGUCGAAUGUGAAAAUCCGAGGCUCAACCUCGGACCUGCAUUCGAUACGGGCAGACUAGAGUUCGGUAGGGGAGUCUGGAAUUCCUGGUGUAGCGGUGAAAUGCGCAGAUAUCAGGAGGAACACCCGUGGCUAAGGCGGCUCUCUAGUACGGUACUGACGCUGAGACGCGAAAGCGUGGGGAGCGAACAGG
rnacentral:rRNA from 1 species